rnacentral:rRNA from 1 species
AUGAACGCUAGCGGGAGGCCUAACACAUGCAAGCCGAGCGGUAUAGAUUCUUCGGAAUCUAGAGAGCGGCGUACGGGUGCGGAACACGUGUGCAACCUACCUUUAUCAGGGGGAUAGCCUUUCGAAAGGAAGAUUAAUACCCCAUAAUAUAUUGACUGGCAUCAGUCGAUAUUGAAAACUCCGGUGGAUAGAGAUGGGCACGCGCAAGAUUAGAUAGUUGGUAGGGUAACGGCCUACCAAGUCAGUGAUCUUUAGGGGGCCUGAGAGGGUGAUCCCCCACACUGGUACUGAGACACGGACCAGACUCCUACGGGAGGCAGCAGUGAGGAAUAUUGGACAAUGGGUGAGAGCCUGAUCCAGCCAUCCCGCGUGAAGGACGACGGCCCUAUGGGUUGUAAACUUCUUUUGUAUAGGGAUAAACCUACUCUCGUGAGAGUAGCUGAAGGUACUAUACGAAUAAGCACCGGCUAACUCCGUGCCAGCAGCCGCGGUAAUACGGAGGGUGCAAGCGUUAUCCGGAUUUAUUGGGUUUAAAGGGUCCGUAGGCGGAUCUGUAAGUCAGUGGUGAAAUCUCAUAGCUUAACUAUGAAACUGCCAUUGAUACUGCAGGUCUUGAGUAAAGUAGAAGUGGCUGGAAUAAGUAGUGUAGCGGUGAAAUGCAUAGAUAUUACUUAGAACACCAAUUGCGAAGGCAGGUCACUAUGUUUUAACUGACGCUGAUGGACGAAAGCGUGGGGAGCGAACAGGAUUAGAUACCCUGGUAGUCCACGCCGUAAACGAUGCUAACUCGUUUUUGGGCUUUAGGGUUCAGAGACUAAGCGAAAGUGAUAAGUUAGCCACCUGGGGAGUACGUUCGCAAGAAUGAAACUCAAAGGAAUUGACGGGGGCCCGCACAAGCGGUGGAUUAUGUGGUUUAAUUCGAUGAUACGCGAGGAACCUUACCAAGGCUUAAAUGGGAAUUGACAGGUUUAGAAAUAGACUUUUCUUCGGACAAUUUUCAAGGUGCUGCAUGGUUGUCGUCAGCUCGUGCCGUGAGGUGUUAGGUUAAGUCCUGCAACGAGCGCAACCCCUGUCACUAGUUGCCAUCAUUCAGUUGGGGACUCUAGUGAGACUGCCUACGCAAGUAGAGAGGAAGGUGGGGAUGACGUCAAAUCAUCACGGCCCUUACGCCUUGGGCCACACACGUAAUACAAUGGCCAGUACAGAGGGCAGCUACCAGGCGACUGGAUGCGAAUCUCGAAAGCUGGUCUCAGUUCGGAUUGGAGUCUGCAACUCGACUCUAUGAAGCUGGAAUCGCUAGUAAUCGCAUAUCAGCC